rnacentral:rRNA from 1 species
GACGAACGCUGGCGGCGUGCUUAACACGUGCAAGUCGAGCGGUAAGGCCCUUUCGGGGUACACGAGCGGCGAACGGGUGAGUAACACGUGGGUGACCUGCCCUUAGCUCUGGGAUAAGCCUGGGAGACUGGGUCUAAUACCGGAUAUGACUCCAUAACGCAUGUUGUGGGGUGGAAAGCCUUGUGCGGCUAGGGAUGGGCCCGCGGCCUAUCAGCUUGUUGGUGGGGUGAUGGCCACCAAGGCGACGACGGGUAGCCGGCCUGAGAGGGCGACCGGCCACACUGGGACUGAGACACGGCCCAGACUCCUACGGGAGGCAGCAGUGGGGAAUCUUGCGCAAUGGGCGAAAGCCUGACGCAGCGACGCCGCGUGGGGAUGACGGCC